CCUGGUUAUUUGAGCGAUACGGAACCACCUCUUACCAUUCCGAACAGAGCAGUGAAACGUAUCAGCGCCGACGGUAUUUCUUCCGCAAGGGAGUGAGAGAAUAGGUCAUAGCCGGGG
rnacentral:rRNA from 1 species